rnacentral:rRNA from 1 species
CCUACGGGAGGCAGCAGUGGGGAAUAUUGCACAAUGGGCGAAAGCCUGAUGCAGCAACGCCGCGUGAGUGAUGAAGGCCUUCGGGUUGUAAAGCUCUGUCUUUUGGGACGAUAAUGACGGUACCAAAGGAGGAAGCCACGGCUAACUACGUGCCAGCAGCCGCGGUAAUACGUAGGUGGCAAGCGUUGUCCGGAUUUACUGGGCGUAAAGGAUGCGUAGGUGGAUAUUUAAGUGGGAUGUGAAAUACCCGGGCUCAACUUGGGUGCUGCAUUCCAAACUGGAUAUCUAGAGUGCAGGAGAGGUAAGUGGAAUUCCUAGUGUAGCGGUGAAAUGCGUAGAGAUUAGGAAGAACACCAGUGGCGAAGGCGACUUACUGGACUGUAACUGACACUGAGGCAUGAAAGCGUGGGGAGCAAACAGGAUUAGAUACCCUGGUAGUCCACGCCGUAAACGAUGGGUACUAGGUGUAGGAGGGUCCAACCUUCUGUGCCGCCGUUAACACAAUAAGUACCCCGCCUGGGGAGUACGGUCGCAAGAUUAAAACUCAAAUGAAUUGACGG